rnacentral:rRNA from 1 species
UACGUAGGGGGCAAGCGUUAUCCGGAUUUACUGGGUGUAAAGGGAGCGCAGGCGGCGUGGCAAGUCAGAUGUGAAAACCCGGGGCCCAACCCCGGGAGUGCAUUUGAAACUGCCAUGCUGGAGUGCCGGAGAGGUAAGCGGAAUUCCUAGUGUAGCGGUGAAAUGCGUAGAUAUUAGGAAGAACACCAGUGGCGAAGGCGGAUGACUGGACGACAACUGACGGUGAGGCGCGAAAGCGUGGGGAGCAAACAGG